rnacentral:tRNA from 1 species
GUAGUCAUAAUUUAAUUAAAAUACUAGAUUGUGAUUCUAAAAAGAGAGUAAAUCUCUCUGACUACC